AACGAACGCUGGCGGCAUGCCUAACACAUGCAAGUCGAACGAGACCUUCGGGUCUAGUGGCGCACGGGUGCGUAACGCGUGGUAACCUGCCCUUAGGUUCGGAAUAACUCCCCGAAAGGGGUGCUAAUACCGGAUAAUGUCUUCGGACCAAAGAUUUAUCGCCUUUGGAUGGGCCCGCGUUGGAUUAGCUAGUUGGUAGGGUAAAAGCCUACCAAGGCGACGAUCCAUAGCUGGUCUGAGAGGAUGAUCAGCCACACUGGGACUGAGACACGGCCCAGACUCCUACGGGAGGCAGCAGUGGGGAAUAUUGGACAAUGGGCGAAAGCCUGAUCCAGCAAUGCCGCGUGAGUGAUGAAGGCCUUAGGGUUGUAAAGCUCUUUUAACCGGGAUGAUAAUGACAGUACCGGGAGAAUAAGCUCCGGCUAACUCCGUG
rnacentral:rRNA from 1 species